rnacentral:rRNA from 1 species
UCCGUAGGUGAACCUGCGGAGGGAUCAUUACACAAAUAUGAAGGCGGGCUGGAACCUCUCGGGGUUACAGCCUUGCUGAAUUAUUCACCCUUGUCUUUUGCGUACUUCUUGUUUCCUUGGUGGGUUCGCCCACCACUAGGACAAACAUAAACCUUUUGUAAUUGCAAUCAGCGUCAGUAACAAAUUAAUAAUUACAACUUUCAACAACGGAUCUCUUGGUUCCGGCAUCGAUGAAGAACGCAGCGAAAUGCGAUAAGUAGUGUGAAUUGCAGAAUUCAGUGAAUCAUCGAAUCUUUGAACGCACAUUGCGCCCUUUGGUGUUCCAAAGGGCAUGCCUGUUCGAGCGUCAUUUGUACCCUCAAGCUUUGCUUGGUGUUGGGCGUCUUGUCUCUAGCUUUGCUGGAGACUCGCCUUAAAGUAAUUGGCAGCCGGCCUACUGGUUUCGGAGCGCAGCACAAGUCGCACUCUCUAUCAGCAAAGGUCUAGCAUCCAUUAAGCCUUUUUUUCAACUUUUGACCUCGGAUCAGGUAGGGAUACCCGCUGAACUUAAGCAUAUCAAUAAGCGGAGGA